rnacentral:rRNA from 1 species
AUGCAGUCGUCGUCGCUGCAUCCGCCGCCGGCGGCGGCCACUCCGCGGGGUCGAAAGGGGCGGCCCAGGAGAGACCGGACGUGGCACAUCACGGUGUUCAACUACAUGCCGCUGCCGUGGGAUCAGAGGGACUGGGCGGAGCUUCCCCAGGACGCGAUCUCCUGCAUCUUCCGCAAGAUGAACCAGUUCGAGCUCCUGCUCGGCGCCGCGGCGGUGUGCCGCUCCUGGCGCCGCGCCGCGUGGCACGAGCCCGAGCUGUGGCGCUGCAUCGACAUGCGCUAUCUGCUUGAAGACGUCCCGCCCUCCGGCUGGCAGGCCACCCGCAGCAGCCUUGUGCGGGCCGCCCUGCGGCUCAGCGCCGGGCAGUGCGAGACCUUCGUCGCCGAGCUCCUCGACGACGACCUCUUCAUCUUCCUCUCCGAGCAGGCACCCUUACUAAAAAAUCUCUAUCUCAUCAAGUGUUACUACGUCUCAAAGGAAGUAUUUGCAAAGGUUAUGUACAAGUUCCCUCUCCUUGAAGAACUCGAGCUUUUGAUGUGGUUAGGUGGCACGGAAAUGCUCGAGAUCGUCGCUGAAGCCUGCCCAUGCCUGAAGCACUUCAGUCUCAUAAAACAAGAUCGUUUUUACGAACUUGAGGACGAUGGUAAUGCUUUCGCGAUUGCGAAGAUGCACGGGCUACGUUCCUUGUAUCUCGACGGCAACAGACUCACCAACAAAGGGCUGACAGUGAUCCUUGAUGGCUGCCCCCACCUAGAGCACCUUAACGUUUUUGAAUGUAAGUAUCUCAGGAUGGAUGAUGACCUGCUAGAGAAAUGUUCUCGAGUCAACAUGGAUGGCCCUCGGUACUCUUUGCCAUAUUUGCCUUGCAGUUGCUGUUGGAGUCCUGACUAUUCGGAUCAUGAGGAUUAUGAGGAUUACCAUGAGGCUUGUUACUACUACCUCGGUGACCACUUUGACGACGAUGAUAUAGCAGAACACGAGAAGAUACUUGAUAUCAAGAACAUGCGGAGGUACUUGCCCUAG